UAUCAGAAGGUAAGUGGGUCAAGAGUGCAGCACGGAACAGGACCCUGAGGAGCCCCCAGGGCUGCCGGGGUCGCAAGCCUGUGGAGCUACUUCCGCCGCCUGCCGCCAACUCUGCGGGCCGGCGACCCCUCCUCUCCGCAGACACCGGCCGGGUCUAGCUCGUGCGGUCCGCGCUCAACUCCACCCGCAGCCGCCGCGGGCUCCUCGGGCGCCAGGAGCUUGACCCGCCACAGCAAAGCGCUGGCAGCGGGCAAGGUCGCUGACUCAGGAGACUUCGGAGUGUAGGCUGUCUAGUUCAGUGGUUAGGAACGCUGGCUCUGAAGUCCAAUCCUGGUUUCACCUCAUGCCAUCUGAGUGACCUUGGGCGAGCUUCUUGACUUCAGGACCGCUCCGGCUUCUUGUAUCCAGAGGUACAGCCCCUGAACAGCCGGGAGUCCCCGUCCCCUGUCCCGGACGAGGGGCCGGGGGCGCCAGCUCCGCACGCCGCGGGAGUGGGCGGCGAGCGCGGGCCUGCGAGGAAAUCUGCUCGGUCCCCGGCAGCCGCCGCUUCCCCUUUGAUGUUUUGGU
rnacentral:lncRNA from 10 species